AGAGUUUGAUCAUGGCUCAGGACGAACGCUGGCGGCGUGCUUAACACAUGCAAGUCGAACGGAAAGGCCCUUCGGGGUACUCGAGUGGCGAACGGGUGAGUAACACGUGGGUGAUCUGCCCUGCACUCUGGGAUAAGCCUGGGAAACUGGGUCUAAUACCGGAUAGGACCGCAUGCUUCAUGGUGUGUGGUGCAAAGCUUUUGCGGUGUGGGAUGAGCCCGCGGCCUAUCAGCUUGUUGGUGGGGUAAUGGCCUACCAAGGCGACGACGGGUAGCCGGCCUGAGAGGGUGACCGGCCACACUGGGACUGAGAUACGGCCCAGACUCCUACGGGAGGCAGCAGUGGGGAAUAUUGCACAAUGGGCGCAAGCCUGAUGCAGCGACGCCGCGUGAGGGAUGACGGCCUUCGGGUUGUAAACCUCUUUCAGUAGGGACGAAGCGAAAGUGACGGUACCUACAGAAGAAGGACCGGCCAACUACGUGCCAGCAGCCGCGGUAAUACGUAGGGUCCGAGCGUUGUCCGGAAUUACUGGGCGUAAAGAGCUCGUAGGUGGUUUGUCGCGUUGUUCGUGAAAACCCACAGCUUAACUGUGGGCGUGCGGGCGAUACGGGCAGACUAGAGUACUGCAGGGGAGACUGGAAUUCCUGGUGUAGCGGUGGAAUGCGCAGAUAUCAGGAGGAACACCGGUGGCGAAGGCGGGUCUCUGGGCAGUAACUGACGCUGAGGAGCGAAAGCGUGGGUAGCGAACAGGAUUAGAUACCCCGGUAGUCCAA
rnacentral:rRNA from 1 species